rnacentral:rRNA from 1 species
UACGAAGGGGGCUAGCGUUGCUCGGAAUCACUGGGCGUAAAGCGCACGUAGGCGGACUCUUAAGUCAGGGGUGAAAUCCUGGAGCUCAACUCCAGAACUGCCUUUGAUACUGGGAGUCUUGAGUUCGGGAGAGGUGAGUGGAACUGCGAGUGUAGAGGUGAAAUUCGUGGAUAUUCGCAAGAACACCAGUGGCGAAGGCGGCUCACUGGCCCGAUACUGACGCUGAGGUGCGAAAGCGUGGGGAGCAAACAGG